CCUACGGGAGACUGCAGUAGGGAAUAUUGCUCAAUGGGGGAAACCCUGAAGCAGCAACGCCGCGUGGAGGAUGAAGGUUUUCGGAUUGUAAACUCCUUUUGUUAGAGAAGAUAAUGACGGUAUCUAACGAAUAAGCACCGGCUAACUCCGUGCCAGCAGCCGCGGUAAUACGGAGGGUGCAAGCGUUACUCGGAAUCACUGGGCGUAAAGGGCGCGUAGGCGGGAUAGCAAGUCAGAUGUGAAAUCCUAUGGCUUAACCAUAGAACUGCAUUUGAAACUGUUAUUCUAGAGUAUGGGAGAGGUAGGUGGAAUUCGUGGUGUAGGGGUAAAAUCCGUAGAGAUCAAGAGGAAUACUCAUUGCGAAGGCGACCUGCUAGAACAUAACUGACGCUGAUGCGCGAAAGCGUGGGGAGCAAACAGGAUUAGAUACCCGAGUAGUC
rnacentral:rRNA from 1 species